rnacentral:rRNA from 1 species
CCGAGCCGCUUCAGGCGAAGUCAUUAAUCCUAUGCUGCCUAGAAAAGCCCAGUAGCGAGUUGACAUGGUGCCCGUACCCCAAACCAACACAGGUGGACAGGUAGAGCAUACCAAGGCGAGUGGGAUAACUAUGGUUAAGGAACUCGGCAAAUUUCCUCCGUAACUUCGGGAUAAGGAGGACCCCAGUAGCGUGACGAGACUUGCUCUCCGAGCGUGAAGGGGUGGCACAAAAUUGAGGGAAGCGACUGUUUACCAAAAACACAGCAGCGUGCUAAGCCGUAAGGCGCUGUAUACGCUGUGACUCCUGCCCGGUGCUGGAAGGUUACGGGGAUGGGUUAGUCCUUUGGGACGAAGCUCUGAACCUAAGCCCCAGUAAACGGCGGCCGUAACUAUAACGGUCCUAAGGUAGCGAAAUUCCUUGUCGGGUAAGUUCCGACCUGCACGAAUGGAGUAACGACUUCCCUACUGUCUCAACCAUAGACCCAGCGAAAUUGAAGUACGAGUAAAGAUGCUCGUUAGCUGCAGAAGGACGGAAAGACCCCGUGGACCUUUACUAUAACUUGAUGUUGUGUUUUGUCAUAUGUUAUGUAGGAUAGGUGGGAGACAAGGAAGCAUGGACGCUAGUCUGUGUGGAGUCAUCGUUGAAAUACCACCCUGCAUAUGGUGAGGCUCUAACCUAGACCCGUUAUCCGGGUUGGGGACAGCGUCAGGCGGGUAGUUUAACUGGGGCGGUCGCCUCCUAAGGGGUAACGGAGGCGCCCAAAGGUUCCCUCAGCCUGGUUGGCAAUCAGGCGUCGAGUGCAAUGGCAAAAGGGAGCUUGACUGCGAGACCUACAAGUCGAGCAGGAGCGAAAGCUGGGCAUAGUGAUCCGGCGGUUGCGUGUGGAAGCGCCGUCGCUCAACGGAUAAAAGGUACCCCGGGGAUAACAGGCUAAUCUUGCCCAAGCGUCCAUAGCGACGGCAAGGUUUGGCACCUCGAUGUCGGCUCAUCGCAUCCUGGGGCUGAAGCAGGUCCCAAGGGUUGGGCUGUUCGCCCAUUAAAGCGGUACGCGAGCUGGGUUCAGAACGUCGUGAGACAGUUCGGUCCCUAUCCUCUGUAGCCGUAGGUGAAUUGAGGAAAGCUGUCCCUAGUACGAGAGGACCGGGACGGACGCAGCUCUCGUGUGCCAGUUGUCCUGCCAAGGGCAUGGCUGGUUAGCGACCUGCGGAAAGGAUAACCGCUGAAAGCAUCUAAGCGGGAAGCCUCUUCCAAGAUGAAUUCACCCACAGGGUUAACCUGGUAAGGCCCGUGGUAGACCACCACGUUGAUAGGCCGGAAGUGUAAGCGUGGCAACACGUUCAGCUGACCGGUACUAAUCGGCCGAGGGCUUGAAU